GUGCUUGCUUCGGCAGCACAUAUACUAAAAUUGGAACGAUACAGAGAAGAUUAGCAUGGCCCCUAAAAAAGAAAAAAAAAAAAAAGAAUGUUUUCUGCUGUUG
rnacentral:snRNA from 1 species